rnacentral:rRNA from 1 species
GACGAACGCUGGCGGCGUGCUUAACACAUGCAAGUCGAACGGAAAGGCCCUGCUUUUGUGGGGUGCUCGAGUGGCGAACGGGUGAGUAACACGUGAGUAACCUGCCCUUGACUUUGGGAUAACUUCAGGAAACUGGGGCUAAUACCGGAUAGGAGCUCCUGCUGCAUGGUGGGGGUUGGAAAGUUUCGGCGGUUGGGGAUGGACUCGCGGCUUAUCAGCUUGUUGGUGGGGUAGUGGCUUACCAAGGCUUUGACGGGUAGCCGGCCUGAGAGGGUGACCGGCCACAUGGGGACUGAGAUACGGCCCAGACUCCAACGGGAGGCAGCAGUGGGGAAUAUUGCACAGUGGGCGGAAGCCUGAUGCAGCAACGCCGCGUGCGGGAUGACGGCCUUCGGGUUGUAAACCGCUUUCGCCUGUGACGAAGCGUGAGUGACGGUAAUGGGUAAAGAAGCACCGGCUAACUACGUG